rnacentral:rRNA from 1 species
AUUGAACGCUGGCGGCAUGCCUUACACAUGCAAGUCGAACGGUAACAGGUCUUCGGAUGCUGACGAGUGGCGAACGGGUGAGUAAUACAUCGGAACGUGCCCAGACGUGGGGGAUAACGAGGCGAAAGCUUUGCUAAUACCGCAUACGAUCUAAGGAUGAAAGCAGGGGACCGCAAGGCCUUGUGCGUUUGGAGCGGCCGAUGGCAGAUUAGGUAGUUGGUGGGAUAAAAGCUUACCAAGCCGACGAUCUGUAGCUGGUCUGAGAGGACGACCAGCCACACGGGGACUGAGACACGCCCAAGACUCCUAGGGGAGGAGGCAGGGGGGAUUGUGGGACAAGGGGGAAAAUCCUGACCCACAAAUCCGGGGUGAGGAAUGAGGGCCUUGGGUUUGUAACUUGUUUUUGUAGGAAAGAAAAGGCUUCGGCCAAAUACCGGGGGAACAGGAGGUAACCGAAAGAAAAACCCCCGGCUAACUACGGC